ensembl:lncRNA
CAUACGGAAGGUGAACCAAGCAGCUCCUUCCCCCUCUUCAGUUAUCUUUACUGCCUCAGCUGAGCUAAAAGUUGUACUCUUGUAGCCAUGUUCUUCACUACUAUCAGACUUAUUUCAUGCACUUCUCUCUUUUUUUCCUCUGGUGUCCUGAUCAAGGUUGCAAUGAAGAAAACAGACCUAUUACUUUAAGUAGACUUUUUUUUUUUUUUUUUUUGUAUCAGUCUCCUUUCUGGCUUUUGCUUUUUGUCCAUUCAGUAAAUGCAGGCAUCCUUUGCUACAAAAUAAGUAACUCUUUCUGUUCCUUCAUUGUCAUGAUGGGAGCCUACUGGACAAGAUUCCUUUUCUGAAACAUGGGUAGAAUCGGACACAGCUGCCUGUUGGAGUUUCCCUGUUACAGCACAGGACUGGCACAUCCCUGUUCCUCCCCAGUAGUCCUCAGCUCAAACAGCCAAAGGCUGUCUGGGUUCACCUUUUUGUGUCCUGUCCAGGCUGAACUGGGCACUCUUGGGGGUGUUCCUUCAACAGCGCAAGAGGUGGAAGCUGAAGUUGAGCAAGCAAAGUGAAAGAAUAUGGGAAAUCACAGCACUGAAAAGAAACAAUGGGGGAAAAAAGGUUUUAAAAACACAAGUGCUGCUGCUACAAAGGCUGAUACUCAAGUUGUACUUCUGCUGGCCAUUAAUGGGAACCAGAGGAGGACUGAGGUAUGUUUAUGUUUUUGUUAUGUUAAGAAAUGCAUCUUAAUUUCUGUGUGCCUUACUGCUAAAUAUGCUGUUAUUAUUUUAUCCAUUUCAAAAUUUGGGAAUAAUUAUAUUGACCUAACAGAGGAGUCAAAAGGAUUAAUUAAUUGAAAUUCAAGUGCUACAAGAAUCCAAUAAUUAUGUUACUAGUAAUAAGCUCGGAACUGGAAUUCCUGUUAUGAGUAGGCCAGUUUUAUGUAGACAACACACUUCCUGCUAGACUGUGUAUCUUGCUCACAAACUUUCAGAUAUUAUAUUCAAUGUUAGUUGAAAUGUUCCAUCAUUUUGGAAGUUUAUGAACCACUUGCAUCCUUGUUCAACAUUCUCUGAAACUGUUGUGAAAUGUGGAUAAAAUUGUAUUCUCUAGGUCUAUUAAACAGUAGAAGACUCCACAGAUUUUGCCUUUUUUCUUUCAGGGGUGCUUCCUUGGUUGGCCAUAGUGAUGACCGUGAUCAUCUGCCAAUGAAGCUGUUCUGAUUUUGCUUGCACAGUGAGAAUGACCUGGCUUUAUGGAUGAGUUGUGCCACUUCCUAGACUUUGGUGUUACAUGUAUCCAAAACCUCAACAGAGGAACAUGCCCUGCUCCUUGCGCUGUUGUAAUCUCGUGGUGAACAACACUGACCACAAACACAAGUGCUAAAGUCUCAGCUUUCUGUACCUUGAAAGAUUUCAAGUUGAAUUUAUUCAUCUUUAAUAACAGAAGAAACACAGAAGUGCAGGACACCUCAAUGUGUGGAAAUAAUUCAACACACAUCUCCAGGAUCUUCUAAAAUGGGCAAGAUUCCCUAUGUCUUUCUGGUCCAACACAUUCAAAUUACAUGUCAGCAUCCAUUAAUGAAUUACUUGUCUUACUACAAGCCUGUGACUUGUUCAGAUUAGCUGGAAGGGGAGAAUAUUUCAAGAAUAUAUCUUGAAAGUUGUCUAGAAAUGGAUCAGUACCAUAUUAAGGCAUGCUAUGGAGCUGUAUGGUAACGGAUGCAUGCACCAUUAAGAGAAAUAUUGAACAUGCAACGGGAAAUUAUUUCUUUUCCACAGACAGGACCACAGUCUUCGAGCAACACUUGCUCAUCCGUUUCGGUCAAAACCAAGAGAAAGGAGGAGAAGACGCCUCAGCCUAGUGGAACGGUUCCUCCCUCUUCUCUUUUGCUGUGACCCGUUUUUACUUCACCGGCUGCUCGCAG